rnacentral:rRNA from 1 species
AGCAGCCGCCGCGGGAAUACGUAGGUCCCGAGCGUUGUCCGGAUUUAUUGGGCGUAAAGGGGGCGCAGGUGGUUUAGUAAGUCUGAAGUUAAAGGCAUUGGCUCAACCAAUGUAUGCUUUGGAAACUGUUAGACUUGAGUGCAGAAGGGGAGAGUGGAAUUCCAUGUGUAGCGGUGAAAUGCGUAGAGAUGUGGAGGAACACCAGUGGCGAAGGCGACUCUCUGGUCUGUAACUGACGCUGAGGAGCGAAAGCGUGGGGAGCGAACAGGAUUAGAUACCCCAGUAGUCCCUGUCUCUUAUACC